UAGAUCCUCCCAUGAAACUUGCAGAGGAAGAAGCUUCCUGAUUCCGGUAUGAAAUAACAUGAACCACUCGACACAUCACCACAGUCUAAACGGUUCUCCUCCAAGCAGACGUCCAACCUGAGAGAGUCAACGGAAGUGAUCCUCCGGGACUGGAAACUCCGGCACAACAGAAGAAUCUGAAUCCUGUGAAUCUGAAUGCUGAGACGGCGAGAUAAACCCAGAUCGUGGCCUACUGUAUGAUCCAGACCGAACCUGAUUCGCUUGUCAAGAAGACAUCAGACUCCAGUCUGAGUUCUUUCACAAGAAUCUUACAAUUUCCAAACAAUCUACUCUUCUUUUUUAUUUUACACUGUUUUAUAUUGUGGUUGUUGCAUGACCGAUUUGUGAAGAAAUAAACUGGUCAUUUGUUAACCUUG